CACGAAACUUGCCCCGAGAUGAGUUCUCCCUGAGACUUAGAGUCUCCUGAAGGAACGUUGAAGACGACGACGUUGAUAGGCCGGGUGUGUAAGCGCAGCGAUGCGUUGAGCUAACCGGUACUAAUGAACCGUGAGGCUUAACCUUACAACGCCGAAGGUGUUU
rnacentral:rRNA from 1 species